rnacentral:lncRNA from 1 species
AUCCUCCGUUGAUGAUCUAGUCUUUCUAUAUUGACAGCAGUAUUAGAGCCAUACCUCAAGCUGAAGAACUGAUGUUCCAUUUGAGGAUCAAAUACAUUCUGCAUUGCAAUCACUUUGUUCAAUAAGAUCGAAAUAAAGUCGACCAUAGGAAGAUCGACUGAAAGGAAAACUUGACUGAUCCAUUGACUAGAUCAAUCGAAUCUAAUGAGUUUGAUGAUUUCAAAUGGAAGAUAGAUAUUUGAUAUCGAUCUGAUUGGCUUUAGUCCAAGUGGGAGUUGUUGGAAAAUAUAUCAUAAAAGCCAAUUAUCUAGGUUGUAGAUGAUUGUGCUCCAUACAUGUAUAUGAAUUAUAAAAUUGAUAAAUAUUAUCUGGCAUAUUCAUCAUAAGGAAUACAUCUUCCUAAAUAGAACUCAUAUGUUAUGAUGAAGUCCUUAAAGCUACUUUCAAAAUGAUAAAGGAAGAUUUAUCGUGUGGUUCUUAAAUCCUACUUGCGAUCAAAUGAUACAAUUGUUACAAGGACGAUAAUUGUAUCGAGUGUAGGUCAUUGUGUACUAUAUUAGUUGGUUAUCCUAUUAAUCAAGACAUGUGGUGACAC